GUUUCUGCAUUGGUAUGGGAGAGGAAGAAUGGCUGGUGCAUGGAAGCGCAGGAAGUGGGUCUUUGGGAUGCUGGGGGUGAAGAGAGAUUCAACAUGGCCAAUUAUUCAACUGGUGGAGCGAAGGUCCCGGAACCACCUGGUGCCCAUAAAAGUCCAUCAUGUGAAGCCAGGAAUGAGCAUCAUCAGUGAUGAAUGGCGUGCUAACCGCAUACUGCCAGUCUUUGGGUAUGUUCACCACACCGUGAACCACAGCAGGUGGUAUGUAGAUCCCGUGUCUGUCCCGUGUGCCCAUACCCAGCACAAAGAGAAGGCCUGGGGCCUGUUCUACGAAGCAGGAUUACUGCUUAGCGAGGUAACUUUGAGGAUAAGUUCGGGUUUCCUGUUCUACGACGCAGGUUCACUUCUUAGCGAGGCGAGUCUCCAUGGCAACAUACGCUGAACGGCUAACCUGCUCCGGGGCAGGUUAAGUUCCAGAUUGAACUCACAGAGUAUAAAAACCCCGCCCACUGACCAAUGAGCUCUCUCGAAAAACGGCUUGUCUGUUCUUGGAGGAUCCUAUAGACCUCGGUGCUCACAUUGUCCGAGGAGCACUCCGGCUCGCGAGAGUUUUCAGGGACUGCACGGACCCACUUACUUCUCCGGAUGACCACCUUUAUGAAAGGCUCAUAUGGCCCACAUAUCACACAAAAAAUGUAAACACGAUAGGAAUGAACAAAUAAAUGAAUUCAUCUUGGAAAUAAAUGGGCAUGGGCUGUGUGAUCACAGACAACAUCUCGGUACCAUUUAGUAGCAGCGCACGCCCCUUGUAAUAACCCCUGUAAAUACAAUACUGUUGUUCAGGACUGCUUACUUGUGCUUCCUACCUACUGUAAUAACCGUUGUUCUAGCCCACAUGCAACAUUUUUGUUCUCAUUCAUGAAACGCUUAAAUCGGGGACAUUUUCAGGGACAGCUUUAGCCGGGGACAGAUCAUCCAAUUCGGGGACUGUCCCCGGAAAUCGGGGACGUCUGGUCACCUUAGUUAAAAGUGCAAGUUGAACAGUGCUAUUUCAGGGUGAUAAUGGCAUCAAAGAUUAAUUUUCUGCCAGCAUUCACUCCGUGCUUUUGCAGCGGCGACGGUGUUGCUUUUGGGGUUUAUGAUAGAUUUUAACUCUUCAUACUUUCUCAUGAUCCUCUGUCUCCUGCUCCUCGUUUGUUAUGUCCGCAGUCCUUCGCUCUCCUGCCGGCUCUGACACUCCAGACUGGUCCAUGUUCACGAUUGGUCAGAUGUGGCAGGCUCCGCCUUACAUGCGUGCACGCGCUCAUGGCAAAGCUGGAUCAACUUACGAGGUUGUUAACCAGCGUCGUAAGACCGUUUAGCGAGACCGCUGGCUACCAUGCUAAGUUGAGCGAGGUAGCUCCAAGGCUACCUCGCUAGGUUGAACUUGCUUCGUAGAACAGGCCCCUGGAGGUCCUACAAGGAGCAGAUCUGGAGGCUCUGAGGAAAUCGUACUGACACUUUACUCUCUGACCACCUUGCACUAAUGGAAUGGAAUGAAUGGCUUGCCAAGAAACACCGUGAUGGUGCAUUUGGUAGACUAAUUUAUGACAUUUCUAAAGAGUACAGGUAGGUUUGGUGUUUG
rnacentral:lncRNA from 1 species